rnacentral:lncRNA from 1 species
UUCAAAGGGAGGCAAGAGCCCUCUUUUCCUCAUACUUUAACGUAAUUCUGUGUCUCUUCGUUUUUCAUCCUUGUCGUCCUUGGGUCAGGUACAGAGCUUGUAGGCUGACUCCUGCGUGAAGUCCUACAGCAGGAUGAGGAAAAAUGUUGUGAGUCAGCCACAUGCACUCUGCAGUUGAGAAAUGCUGGCCAGCAAAAAGAAAAUGGCGAAAAGAAAAAGAAACGGAAAGAAGGAAUGUGAUGCUAACAUCUCUGCCUUGGGAAGAUCUUGCUGGAAGGAAAACUCAGAACUCUCUGCUGGUCAGACUCCACAAGGGCUGUGGAGGAGCAGGUGGACACUUCAAAGAAAUCCAGCUUGAACUUGCACGGGGAGAAGAACCCGAUGCUCUUGUAGCUUUUCUACGUCAUUCUGCAGGGCAGCCUCCAGUGUGUGUUUGUGUUCCUUCUUGAGUUCCAGCUCCUGACCAUGGUGAGACAGCACUCACUGCAGCACUCCCAGCUGCUCUGGCCCCUACCUCUGCCUCUUCAGAGCCACAUGUGAGGAGUGGAUGUCCAUUAUGCUCACAAACUGUGUCCUUCAGGACCACCCUCUUCUGCACAGGCUUCUUUGUCUGCAGCAUUCACCAUUACCUGCUGCAGAACUGUCAGUCUGCCAACACUAAGGAAACAAAGAAAACAUCAAAGAUGUUUGGGCACAAGCACAUCUUUCAUAAAUUUGCUUCCCCUUUAUCAAGUUUGUGGUCCUCUUAAUUUUGCAUUUUGGGUGGGGCCUCCUCCUGAUAACCUUCUUUGUUUUUCUCUUUUGACAAAUAAACACUUGCUAUUCUGGUUUUCUCUUUCUAUGGCCAGGAUGAGGUUGUCUAAUUAUAAAGCAACUACAUUCACAACUAGAUGGUGGCAAUAAUAUAAUAACCCAAGUGUCCUCUGACCAAGGACUAAAUAGAAUGUUG